rnacentral:lncRNA from 1 species
AAUAUACUCAAUGUGUCACGCCCCGGAUUACCACAUUUCCUCGGGCAUACCAACAGACCCGCCGUAUACAAAAGAAUUUUUCCUGUAUACGAAGCGAUAGCUAUACCUGUACCUAUAAUCAUACAAAACUAUAACUAGUACUAUAGAGCUGCUAACAGAACUGUAAACAUAUAUAAAUAAACAUCAGGUUAACCAUACAUAUAU